rnacentral:rRNA from 1 species
AUUGAACGCUGGCGGCAGGCCUAACACAUGCAAGUCGAACGAGUGGCGGACGGGUGAGUAAUGUCUGGGAAACUGCCUGAUGGAGGGGGAUAACUACUGGAAACGGUAGCUAAUACCGCAUACCAUCAGAUGUGCCCAGAUGGGAUUAGCUUUUGGGUGGGGUAAAGGCUCACAAAGGCGACGAUCCCUAGCUGGUCUGAGAGGAUGACCAGCCACACUGGAACUGAGACACGGCCCAGACCCCUACGGGAGGAACCGGGGGGGAAUAUUGGCAAAUGGGCGAAAGCUUGAUGCAGCCCUGCCGCGUGGAUGAAGAAGGCUUUCGGGCUGUAAAGUACUUUGAGCGGGGAGGCGGUACCCGCAGAAGAAGCACCGGCUAACUCCGUGCCAGCAGCCGCGGUAAUAC